rnacentral:rRNA from 1 species
AAAUGAUGGGCGCAGCCUGAUCAGCAUGCCGCGUGAGGGAAGAAGGCCUUCGGGUUGUAAACUGCUUUUGUACGGAACGAAACGGUCUGGGUUAAUACCCUGGACUAAUGACGGUACCGUAAGAAUAACCACCGGCUAACUACGUGCCAGCAGCCGCGGUAAUACAUAUGGUGCAAGCGUUAAUCGCAAUUACUGGCCUUAAAGCGUGAGCAGGCGGUUUUGUAAUACAGGCGUGAAAUCCCCGGGCUCAACCUGGGAAUUGCUCUUGUGAAUGCAAGGCUAGAUUGCGGCGUAGGGGGAUGGAAUUCCGAGUGUAGCAGUAAAAUGCGUAGAUAUGCCGAGGAACACCAAUGGCAAAGGCAAUCCCCUGGGCCUGCACUGACACUCAUGCACAAAAGCGUGCGGAGCAAACAGGAUUAAUACCCUGGUAGUCCACGCCCUAAACGAUGUCAACUGGUUGUUGGGAAUUUACUUUCUCAGUAACGAAGCUAACGCGUGAAGUUGACCGCCUGGGGAGUACGGCCACAAGGUUG